AGAGUUUGAUCCUGGCUCAGGAUGAACGCUAGCGGCAGGCUUAACACAUGCAAGUCGAGGGGCAUCGGGAGGGAAGCUUGCUUUCCUUGCCGGCGACCGGCGCACGGGUGAGUAACACGUAUGCAACCUGCCCUCUUCAGGGGGACAACCUUCCGAAAGGGAGGCUAAUCCCGCGUAUAUCGGUUUCGGGCAUCCGAGAUCGAGGAAAGAUUCAUCGGAAGAGGAUGGGCAUGCGGCGCAUUAGCUAGACGGCGGGGUAACGGCCCACCGUGGCGACGAUGCGUAGGGGUUCUGAGAGGAAGGUCCCCCACACUGGUACUGAGACACGGACCAGACUCCUACGGGAGGCAGCAGUGAGGAAUAUUGGUCAAUGGGAGAGAUCCUGAACCAGCCAAGCCGCGUGAGGGAAGACGGCCCUAUGGGUUGUAAACCUCUUUUGUCGGAGAACAAAACCCGGGACGAGUCCCGGACUGCGUGUAUCCGAAGAAAAAGCAUCGGCUAACUCCGUGCCCAGCAGCCGCGGUAAUACGGAGGAUGCGAGCGUUAUCCGGAUUUAUUGGGUUUAAAGGGUGCGUAGGCGGUCCGUUAAGUCAGCGGUAAAAUUGCGGGGCUCAACCCCGUCGAGCCGUUGAAACUGGCAGACUUGGGUUGGCGAGAAGUACGCGGAAUGCGCGGUGUAGCGGUGAAAUGCAUAGAUAUCGCGCAGAACUCCGAUUGCGAAGGCAGCGUACCGGCGCCAGACUGACGCUGAGGCACGAAAGCGUGGGGAUCGAACAGGAUUAGAUACCCUGGUAGUCCACGCAGUAAACGAUGAAUGCUGGUUGUCCGGGUCGAAUGAGACCUGGGCGGCGAAGCGAAAGCGAUAAGCAUUCCACCUGGGGAGUACGCCGGCAACGGUGAAACUCAAAGGAAUUGACGGGGGCCCGCACAAGCGGAGGAACAUGUGGUUUAAUUCGAUGAUACGCGAGGAACCUUACCCGGGCUCAAACGGGAGUGGAAUGGACCAGAGACGGUUCAGCCUACGGGCCGCUUCCGAGGUGCUGCAUGGUUGUCGUCAGCUCGUGCCGUGAGGUGUCGGCUUAAGUGCCAUAACGAGCGCAACCCCCGCCGGCAGUUGCUAACGGGCAAUGCCGAGGACUCUGCCGGGACUGCCGCCGCAAGGCGUGAGGAAGGCGGGGAUGACGUCAAAUCAGCACGGCCCUUACGUCCGGGGCGACACACGUGUUACAAUGGGCGGUACAGCGGGAAGCCAGGCGGCGACGCCGAGCGGAACCCGAAAGCCGUUCUCAGUUCGGAUCGGAGUCUGCAACCCGACUCCGUGAAGCUGGAUUCGCUAGUAAUCGCGCAUCAGCCAUGGCGCGGUGAAUACGUUCCCGGGCCUUGCACACACCGCCCGUCA
rnacentral:rRNA from 1 species